rnacentral:rRNA from 1 species
CCAAGGCUAAAUACUCCUGACUGACCGAUAGUGAACCAGUACCGUGAGGGAAAGGCGAAAAGAACCCCGGCGAGGGGAGUGAAAAAGAACCUGAAACCGUGUACGUACAAGCAGUGGGAGCCUCUUAAUGGGGUGACUGCGUACCUUUUGUAUAAUGGGUCAGCGACUUAUAUUCUGUAGCAAGGUUAACCGAAUAGGGGAGCCGAAGGGAAACCGAGUCUUAACUGGGCGUUAAGUUGCAGGGUAUAGACCCGAAACCCGGUGAUCUAGCCAUGGGCAGGUUGAAGGUUGGGUAACACUAACUGGAGGACCGAACCGACUAAUGUUGAAAAAUUAGCGGAUGACUUGUGGCUGGGGGUGAAAGGCCAAUCAAACCGGGAGAUAGCUGGUUCUCCCCGAAAGCUAUUUAGGUAGCGCCUCGUGAAUUCAUCUCCGGGGGUAGAGCACUGUUUCGGCAAGGGGGUCAUCCCGACUUACCAACCCGAUGCAAACUGCGAAUACCGGAGAAUGUUAUCACGGGAGACACACGGCGGGUGCUAACGUCCGUCGUGAAGAGGGAAACAACCCAGACCGCCAGCUAAGGUCCCAAAGUCAUGGUUAAGUGGGAAACGAUGUGGGAAGGCCCAGACAGCCAGGAUGUUGGCUUAGAAGCAGCCAUCAUUUAAAGAAAGCGUAAUAGCUCACUGGUCGAGUCGGCCUGCGCGGAAGAUGUAACGGGGCUAAACCAUG